GAUCAGAAUCAGAUGCCUUGGAUUCAUACAGAAACCCAGGAGGGAGGACAGGCAUCAGGGGACGAGGUGCACUCCACCAUUUGGGUCCAAAUCGGAAUAUGGACCUUGUGCUUACACGCGGGCGAGUCAGCCAGGGCAGUGUAUUGGAGUACCUGGCAGUUUGGGACGAGAGCCAGGGAACGUUGACUUUACCUGGGG